ensembl:snoRNA
GUGCCCUUUUAAGGCAGACAUAGUUUUGUAAGAGGCUAACACAAAAGGGUAAAGUAAGUCUCCAUCAAAACCAGAGAAGAGACAGAAGAGACUGUGAAACUCCUCUUUGGACCCCAUCUGGAGUCAUAGCA